rnacentral:miRNA from 1 species
GAGAGGCCAAGACCACCCAUAAAAGCCUUGGGAAUGGGGGUAAGGGCCUUCUGAGCCCAGGUCUGAACUCUCCAUUCCUCUGCAGAGCGCUCU